rnacentral:rRNA from 1 species
AACGAACGCUGGCGGCAGGCUUAACACAUGCAAGUCGAGCGCCCCGCAAGGGGAGCGGCAGACGGGUGAGUAACGCGUGGGAAUCUACCGUGCCCUACGGAAUAGCUCCGGGAAACUGGAAUUAAUACCGUAUACGCCCUACGGGGGAAAGAUUUAUCGGGGUAUGAUGAGCCCGCGUUGGAUUAGCUAGUUGGUGGGGUAAAGGCCUACCAAGGCGACGAUCCAUAGCUGGUCUGAGAGGAUGAUCAGCCACAUUGGGACUGAGACACGGCCCAAACUCCUACGGGAGGCAGCAGUGGGGAAUAUUGGACAAUGGGCGCAAGCCUGAUCCAGCCAUGCCGCGUGAGUGAUGAAGGUCUUAGGAUUGUAAAGCUCUUUCACCGGUGAAGAUAAUGACGGUAACCGGAGAAGAAGCCCCGGCUAACUUCGUGCCAGCAGCCGCAGUAAUAC